rnacentral:rRNA from 1 species
CCUACGGGAGGCAGCAGUGAGGAAUAUUGGUCAAUGGCCGGAAGGCUGAACCAGCCAUGCCGCGUGAAGGUCAGUGCCCUAUGGGCGGUAAACUUCUUUUGUGCGGGAGCAAUAAUGGUAACGUGUGGCCAGACGAGAGUAACGUACGCAUAAGCAUCGGCUAACUCCGUGCAAGCAGCCGCGGGAAUACGAGUGAUGCGAUCGUAAUCCGGAUUUAUUGGGGGUAAAGGGAGCGUAGACGGCAGUGCAAGUCUGGAGUGAAAGGCGCGGGCUCAAACCCCGGACUGCUCUGGAGACUGUACGGCUGGAGUGAAAGAGAGGUAAGUGGAAUUCCAAGUGUAGCGGUGAAAUGCGUAGAUAUUAGGAGGAACACCAGUGGCGAAGGCGGCUUACUGGACUGUAACUGACGUUGAGGCUCGAAAGCGUGGGGAGCAAACAGGAUUAGAUACCCCAGUAGUC